CCGAAUGGAUAUCUCUUGCCAGGGCACUGAUUACGAUAUUUCUCAGCUGUUGCACAGAGCGAAGUCACUCUUAGUUCUUCGUCGGUUUGAUGAUGUGUUGGAGGUAUGCACGGGAGCCUUUGAACUUGUCUCGAAGAGGAGAGAUGACUCUCACCUGUCCAACGAUUUAUUCAGGAAUUCAGAUCAAUGGACACAUUUUGCAGUUAUUGGAAUUCAAGCCUUUGCAGAAAUAAACCAGUGUCAAAAAGCUAUUACAUUCACCACUAAAGCAUUUGAACAUUUUAGAAAGUUUCCAACAGAAGCCUUGGAAUUGUGUGUGUGUCUUCUUCUGAAAGCAUCAAAGUACAAGGAGGCUGGGAAACUUGUUCAGGAUUGGCUUUCUUGUGAAGAUAAUUUCUCUCAAGUUAAAUAUGUGAAAAUAGCAGAAGUUUAUGUCAAACAUAUUCUCUUUCCCCAACAAUUGCAUGAGGAGAUAAAAUGUUUUCUGGAGACCAAUCAAGUCAUUCCUUCCAGUGAGAAACAGGUACUUUUCCAGUUCACAAAACCUUUUGCUAAUGAGAAGGUUGAAAGGUGUAACAUGUCACAUGAGCUAACAGCCCCUGCUCAACUUCCAGCAGAACAUAGUGUUGCCAAUAGAUGGCUAAGAGUGAGGGCAGUCGUACAAAAGCUUCAGAGCCUGUACCGGAUCGUCCUCUUCCAUCAGAAAACGAGGAUUCUUGAGUGAACAAAGGUUCAGGAAUAUUCAGUCUGUGGCUUGCUGUGUUAAACGCUUGGAGAGCAUUGAUUAGUCCUACUAAGUGAUAAAACCCAACACUAGCAGGUGUCAUGAGUAUCCAAGAAAAUAAAGAACCAUGAUACAUUAACAGACCCCGAGUGUGAAGAAAGACGCGCAGAAAACAACAACAAAAGUGUUAAAACGAGAUAAUACAGCGAUCAAUACUGUCUAAUGAAACAUUAAUUCGAACUCUAUGUGAACACUGACGAGCUCGUGGUAAGUAACUCACGGUUAUAAAUGUUAAACAAACAGUUCGUUAAGGAAACUGUAACAGGGCUUCAGGCAGUCGAGUUUUCUAAAGGAUGUUUGUUGCAUCUGCGCUUAAAACAAGACUAAUGCUAGGUGUUUCUUCUCUUGGAAGACUACUGAUGUUGCGAUGAGAUAUUUAUCUCAGUCUUACAGACACUUCAUGUUGUUACGUUUCAUUGGCUAAGGAUGAUGUAAGUCAAAGGCUAAAGUUCAUUCCCAAUGUGAGUCAGUUUUCUGUUGUCAUUAAUAAAAGAAAAAAUAAACGAAAAAACAUAUCUUAAAACCAUUCGGUGUCUGUGGGUAAGGAUUUUUUAACAUUUUCGAGCGUGAUUGGUUGUAACUAGCCCGAUUUGAGCACUAAUAGGACAGUGUACUUGUCAUGCUUGUAACUGGACAGUGCAAUAGGACAGUUGAACUAUCAUGCCUGUGUAAGUGGACAGCGAGCGUCAUGAUCGAGCUGUUGUCGCGCAUUUCGCCGAAUUAACAAUUGUCUUUUUUCAUGUGGAAAAGUAUAACCGAUAUCUAGUUUAAUUCUCAAAUUUCGUCAUAGCUUUAAUUAAUUGGUAACAAGCCUUCGUGUCGUCCCAUUCUGUCUGUGGUCAUACUCGUGAAUAAGAAAUCACACCUCCUCCUCGAGGUCGUUCGAUUUUGUAAUCACUUGUAUAAUGACAGACUGAAUUGGACUCCACUCAGUCCCAGUACCAUUUUUAAUAGAUCUGUCUAAUGCGAGUUUGUAUGGAAGUAGUCUGUUAGGACGUCAACUGAAGUAUUCAUGAUGAGUAGUGGUUUUAGUGCAGUAAGUAAAGAGCUUGUAAAUCAUAUAAAUUCCCCAGAUUUUUACCCAUUUUACAAGUAAACUCCAAAUUUUUAAAGAGCUUGCAAAACAGGUUACGACAUCGAAUGAAAUUACGACGCACGGGUAUUCAGAAAUAGUGUUUAUUUACCGUUGGCUUCAAAACAGAGAUUAUGCAGUAUACGUCUGAGUAAUGUUAAAUUCUUUGUACAUCUGUUUCCCAUCAGGAGUCGUCAAGUAAUUGGAAUGGAAUAGAUUAACAGAUUACAGAAAGUUUA